UGGGGAAUAUUGCACAAUGGGCGCAAGCCUGAUCCAGCCAUGCCGCGUGGGUGAUGAAGGCCUUAGGGUUGUAAAGCUCUUUCACCGGUGAAGAUAAUGACGGUAACCGGAGAAGAAGCCCCGGCUAACUUCGUGCCAGCAGCCGCGGUAAUACGAAGGGGGCUAGCGUUGUUCGGAUUUACUGGGCGUAAAGCGCACGUAGGCGGACUUUUAAGUCAGGGGUGAAAUCCCGGGGCUCAACCCCGGAACUGCAUUUGAUACUGGAAGUCUUGAGGAUGGUAGAGGUGAGUGGAAUUCCGAGUGUAGAGGUGAAAUGCGUAGAUAUUCGGAGGAACACCAGUGGCGAAGGCGGCUCACUGGACCAUUACUGACGCUGAGGUGCGAAAGCGUGGGGAGCAAACAGG
rnacentral:rRNA from 1 species